UACGGGGGGGGGCAAGCGUUGUUCGGAAUUACUGGGCGUAAAGGGCUCGUAGGCGGCCAACUAAGUCGGAUGUGAAAUCCCCAGGCUUAACCUGGGAACUGCAUCCGAUACUGGAUGGCUUGAAUCCGGGAGAGGGAUGCGGAAUUCCAGGUGUAGCGGUGAAAUGCGUAGAGAUCGGCAGGAACACCCAGGGAGAAAUCAGCCGCCUGGGCAAGUGCUGACGCUGAGGUGCGAAAGCGUGGGGAGCGAACCGG
rnacentral:rRNA from 1 species